rnacentral:rRNA from 1 species
UACGAAGGGGGCUAGCGUUGCUCGGAAUUACUGGGCGUAAAGCGCACGUAGGUGGUUUGUUAAGUCAGCUGUGAAAUCCCCGGGCUCAACCUGGGCACUGCAGUUGAAACUGGCAAGCUAGAGUAGGGUAGAGGGGUGUGGAAUUCCAGGUGUAGCGGUGAAAUGACGUAGAUAUCAGGAGGAACACCGGUGGCGAAGGCGGGUCUCUGGGCCGAUACUGACGCUGAGGAGCGAAAGCGUGGGGAGCAAACAGG